UACGUAGGGGCUAGCGUUAUCCGGAAUUACUGGGCGUAAAGGGUGCGUAGGCGGUCUUUCAAGCCAGAAGUGAAAGGCUACGGCUCAACCGUAGUAAGCUUUUGGAACUGUAGGACUUGAGUGCAGGAGAGGAGAGUGGAAUUCCUAGUGUAGCGGUGAAAUGCGUAGAUAUUAGGAGGAACACCAGUAGCGAAGGCGGCUCUCUGGACUGUAACUGACGCUGAGGCACGAAGGCGUGGGAGCAAACAGGAUUAGAUACCCUGGUAGUCCCU
rnacentral:rRNA from 1 species